rnacentral:rRNA from 1 species
CCGGCGAACGGGUGCGUAACACGUGAGCAAGCUUCCGAUUUGUGGGGGAUAGCCGGCCUAACGGCCGGGUAAUACCGCAUACGUUCACUAGGCGGCAUCGUCUGGUGAGGAAACCUCCGGGGCAAAUCGAGGCGCUCGCGGCCUAUCAGCUAGUUGGCGGGGUAACGGCCCACCAAGGCGACGACGGGUAGCUGGUCUGAGAGGAUGGCCAGCCACAUUGGGGCUGCGACACGGCCCAGACUCCUACGGGAGGCAGCAGUGGGGAAUAUUGCGCAAUGGACGAAAGUCUGACGCAGCGACGCCGCGUGUGGGAUGACGCCUUUCGGGGUGUAAACCACUGUUGCCCGGGACGAAACUCCUUUUUCGAAAGGACUGACGGUACCGGGUGAGGAAGCACCGGCUAACUCUGUGCCAGCAGCCGCGGUAAUACAGAGGGUGCGAGCGUUGUCCGGAAUCACUGGGCGUAAAGGGUGCGUAGGUGGCUUGGUAAGCGUGUGGUGAAAGUCCGGGGCUCAACCCCGGAUCUGCCGUGCGAACUGCCGAGCUCGAGCAUUGUAGAGGCAGGUGGAAUUCCGGGUGUAGCGGUGGAAUGCGUAGAGAUCCGGAAGAACACCAGUGGCGAAGGCGGCCUGCUGGGCAAUUGCUGACACUGAGGCACGACAGCGUGGGGAGCAAACAGGAUUAGAUACCCUGGUAGUCCACGCCGUAAACGAUGGGUACUAGGUGUCUGGGGGAGCGACCCCCCUGGGUACCGUCGCUAACGCAUGAAGUACCCCGCCUGGGGAGUACGACCGCAAGGUUGAAA